rnacentral:rRNA from 1 species
UACGGCUCAGUAACACGUAGUCAACCUACCCUAUGGACGGGAAUAAUCUCGGGAAACUGAGCAUAAUACCCGGCGUACCACCAUUCCUGGAAUGGUUGGUGGUUAAAAUGAUUCGUCGCCGUAGGAUGGGACUGCGACCUAUCAGCUUGUUGGUGAGGUAAAGGCCCACCAAGGCGAUUACAGGUACGGGCUCUGAGAGGAGAAGCCCGGAGAUGGGUACUGAGACACGGACCCAGGCCCUAUGGGGCGCAGCAGGCGAGAAAACUUUGCAAUGUGCGAAAGCACGACAAGGUUAAUCCGAGUGAUUUCUGCUAAAGGAAUCUUUUGCCAGUUCUAAAAAUACUAGUGAAUAAGGGGUGGGCAAGUUCUGGUGUCAGCCGCCGCGGUAAAACCAGCACCUCAAGUGGUCAGGAGGAUUAUUGGGCCUAAAGCAUCCGUAGCCUGCUCUGUAAGUUUUCGGUUAAAUCUAUAUGCUCAACGUAUAGGCCGCCGAAAAUACUGCAGUGCUAGGAAGUGGGAGAGGUAGACGGUACUUGGUAGGAAGGGGUAAAAUCCUUUGAUCUAUCGAUGACCACCUGUGGCGAAGGCGGUCUACCAGAACACGUUCGACGGUGAGGGAUGAAAGCUGGGGGAGCAAACCGGAUUAGAUACCCGGGUAGUCCCAGCUGUAAACGAUGCAGACUAGAUGAUGCAUUGGCAUAUAGCCAGUGCAGUGUCUCAGGGAAGCCGUUAAGUCUGCCGCCUGGGAAGUACGUACGCAAGUAUGAAACUUAAAGGAAUUGGCGGA